AAAGAUGGGUGAAAUAUAUUCCCCAGGUUCAGUAACACUGGGAACAAUAACACCUUGAGCAAGUAGGCUUUUUAUUUCAGAAUCAAUGACCAGCCUUUCUUUGCUAAUAACAAUUUUUCUGUGGGCAUUUCAGGGCUCAAGAUUAGCGGUAUCCCGAUAUCCACAGGAUACCAGAUUUCAAUUUUGGAUACUAGAUAUCAUAGGUUUAGUAUCCAGACAGGAUACUAAAACCCUCGAAAUAUUGGCAAAGUUUGUACAUCGCGGCGAAAUGUUCGUCAAAAUAAUGUUUUUUUUUGUUGUUUGUCACACGAAAAUGGAAUGAACCUGAGCACAAGGUUAAUUUCUGCCUCUCGAUUUUCGGCAGUGAUUGCUCAGAGCAUAACCAAUGAUUACGCGCAAUUUCCUGUCGCCAUCGCAACGUAAUGAAAUUUGACUUGUGUUUCUAUAUAUGCCUAUGGUUUUUCCCUGCAAGCACGAGAUAAAAAUCAUGUGAUACCACUUAUCGAAAUACCUACUACCCAAAUCUGGGAUACUAAAUUUCAAAUAGGGAUACUAGAUUUCAAGACCCUAGUAUCCACUUGGAUACCAGUUAAAAAUUCAAAUCUUGAGCCCUGCAUUUAACCUGAAAAGAGGUUGACAAGAGUUCUAUGUGUGCCCCUGUCACCAUAUCUAAAAUAAAUUCAUCCGAUGUUAACAUUUUCCAUUGUUCCACAUAAGAUGACAAUCUACCAG